rnacentral:rRNA from 1 species
ACGGGAGGCAGCAGUGGGGGAUAUUGCACAAUGGGGGAAACCCUGAUGCAGCGACGCCGCGUGAGUGAUGAAGUAUUUCGGUAUGUAAAGCUCUAUCAGCAGGGAAGAAAAUGACGGUACCUGACUAAGAAGCACCGGCUAAAUACGUGCCAGCAGCCGCGGUAAUACGUAUGGUGCAAGCGUUAUCCGGAUUUACUGGGUGUAAAGGGAGCGUAGACGGAUGGCUAAGUCUGAUGUGAAAGGUGAGGGCUCAACCCUUAAACUGCAUUGGAAACUGGUCAUCUAGAGUGUCGGAGAGGUAAGUGGAAUUCCUAGUGUAGCGGUGAAAUGCGUAGAUAUUAGGAGGAACACCAGUGGCGAAGGCGGCUUGCUGGACGACAACUGACGCUGAGGCGCGAAAGCGUGGGGAGCAAACAGGAUUAGAUACCCUGGUA